GGCUGCCUACGGGACGCAGCAGUGAGGAAUAUUGGUCAAUGGGCGCGAGCCUGAACCAGCCAAGUAGCGUGAAGGAUGACUGCCCUACGGGUUGUAAACUUCUUUUAUAAAGGAAUAAAGUGAGGCAUGUGUGCCUUUUUGUAUGUAUUUUAUGAAUAAGGAUCGGCUAACUCCGUGCCAGCAGCCGCGGUAAUACGGAGGAUCCGAGCGUUAUCCGGAUUUAUUGGGUUUAAAGGGUGCGUAGAUGGGUUGUUAAGUCAGUUGUGAAA
rnacentral:rRNA from 1 species